CUUUUUGAAAAUAAUUUAAGGUCUGGCCUGCCCAAUGAAUAAUUAAAUGGCNGCGGUAUAUUGACCGUACAAAGGUAGCAUAAUCAUUAGUUUUUUAAUUGAAAGCUGGAAUGAAAGGUCGGAUGAAAAAACAACUGUCUUUGUUUAAAUUUUUCUUGAAUUUUAUAUUUAAGUUAAAAAGCUUAAAUUAUAGUAAAAGACGAGAAGACCCUAUAGAGUUUUAUUAAUUUAAUUAGAGAUAUUUUUAGUAUUUAUAGAUUUUUAUGAUUAAAUUAAUUUAAUUGGGGCGAUUGAAAAAUUUAAUUAACYUUUUUUAUAUAUGUUCACUAAUUUGUGUAUAGUUGAUCCYUUUGUUAAGAUUAWAAGAUGAAAUUACCUUAGGGAUAACAGCGUAAUUUUUUUUGAGAGUUCUUAUCGAAAAAAAAGAUUGCSACCUCGAUGUUGGAUUAAAAUAAAAUUUUGGUGUAGAAGCUAAA
rnacentral:rRNA from 1 species